UAGAGUUCUCACUUUUCUCUAAUUAAAAAAAUUAAAAACAACACUAUAGUAAGACACUUCAUUGUCAGUGCUAGGUCCCUUCUCAUGGGAUCGAAUAGCAGAGUCCUGGCUACGGGUUCAAAUGCCCUGCUGAAAUCCUCAGACAAUUCCAACAUCCACAAAGCUACGAAAGGAAGUGAGCUGCAUCUUCAUUUCACUAUCUAUUAUUAAACACACCACCAUGGCACCGCUGGUGAUUGGGAAGUGCCCUAGAUACUGGGAGCAGUGAAUGAGAAUGUGAAUCCAUCCUGAGGCUUGGAGUAUGAAUGAGUGUAAACGCCCU
rnacentral:lncRNA from 1 species